rnacentral:lncRNA from 1 species
GAGACUUUUUGUUGAAGAAUUACCUGACUGCUACUAACAAGCGUGAAAAAAAGAAGAGCAAAACAAGCCCCCCAAAAACCCACUGUCCUGGCGCCUUGAGUCCACGACUACCAGGCAAAGUAGCAAAUGGGAAAUAGGGAGAUGUAGUUCACGUGUGAUUUCCACCCUCCCGCUGCCACCUACCACUGCCUAUUUUAAAGUAAGGAAUAAGAAAAGAUGAAUAAUUACUGAGACAAAAACUAAAGUAUCCAUUGUGACAGAGAAGGUAGGUGUUUUAACCUCCUUACUGAAGUAGUGUGGGGUGGAAGCACUUGAUGAAGUGAGGAGGGGCUGAGGAAGCUGGAUUUAUUCAGCGUGGAAUUAGAAAGGUUGGAGGACUGGAGGGUCUAAUUGAUGUCUGUCACUACCUAAAAGGAGAUUUUAGGCAGCAAGACUCUUUUCAGAGGUAUACAACAAAAAGACAGGAGGCAAUAGAGGUGAUAGAAACAGGUUGUGCAAGGAGAAAUUCUGACAGGACAUUAAGGAAAAAAAUGUUUUUCUGAAGGUGGUAUAGCACUGGCGUAAGUGCCCAGAGGGGAUGGGUGAUUUCUGUCCUUUGGAGAAGUCCAGAAACCACCUCAAACAGGUUCUUCACUGCUGUGAGGUUUUACUGAUCACGUCACCACCUUGCUUAAGUCCUGGGGUAGGACCUGCCAGUGCAAUAACCUCAACAUCAGUCUCUAAAGUGAUAAGCCAGUAGAGUUUCCUCUGGAAUUUCAUUCUAUGCAAAAGCAGUCAGCCUUUGUUUCCUGACCUUGCUCUUAUUCAAUGAGUAGUGUUUGACUAUUUUAAUGUGCUUUAAAAUCUACAGAUGGAAAAGCAGUGUGCCAGCAUGCUGCAGUAUUUUUCAGAUGGAAUAAUCGUGACUCAGGGAAGAAGAUCCCUUCUGCCGGAGGUACCUGCAUUCACUGUGAAGUGGGUGCAUGUGUGCCAUCCACAGCUUAGUGUUAAAUUAUUUUUUCACCCCUCAGUCCAGAAGAAAAUGGAUUCCAACAGUGCAAUGAAGAUGAAGGCAACCACAGAGGAAAAAGAAGUAAAGAAAUGCUUGAGUGUUGAUGUAUUUGUAAAUGACUCUCUGGGAGAAAAAAAAAUGCACUUUAAGAAAAUAAACUCAGUAUAAGGCCUAAUAAAAAUAAAAUUUUAUGAAAAAUAUAAAAAUCC